UCGCCGCCUCGGAAUUCCUCCAAUGCACGCGCGUUGCGUGUGUCCGUCCCUGAGCAGUUACUGACUUGGCUUCCAGGUUCCGUGUGAGUGUGAGGAGAGAUGACUGCCUAUCUGGGGCAGUAAUGCGGACGGGUGAGGAGGAACAAAGAGGAGAUUAGUGAUGAAAUAGCGACCUUCAACUGAACCACACGAGCCUUUACCCUGCAACUCGCCCCAAAGCAGCUCACAGACGGCACAUGCUGUGUGCACGGCACCUACACGGACCCUUGACAGGAAUACUCGUAAGAAAACCUGGAGCAAAUCCCAGCCGGUAGCACUCACUGCACCGGCCCCUCCUCGUUAUUACCUGCCUCCCCUCUCAGACGGCAGCACUGCGGGUCUCGUCUCGCUCUGCUCCGUCUCCCUGCUUGCAUACGGCAGGGGUACUCUAGCAAGCGCUAAUUGAAGUGACCUUAUUCAAACCUAAUUAAAACCCUGCAGUCUC